AGCGAUCUCUUGUGUGAACCGAUUCAUUGUCAACACUCAAACGAUUCAUUCCUGCAUCAGAUGUUUGACGUGGCGUUACGUUUGUUGCCAUAAAUAUUGCCAACUCCGAUAUCAAUACAGCCGACGAGUUGAUUGGGAUAGCAGUGAAAUCUACUGGAUUCACACUGGUUAAAAGGCCUUAAAGAGGAUUGGGUUUGACUGUUUGGGUUUGACUCCUCAAUCUGACCCUCAGUUAUCUGCUACUGAUCCAGCUUUCUCGUGUCAGUCAAUAACGUACAGCCUGGUUUUCCAUUAGAUGAGACCUCUGACAUUCAGAAGCAAGCAGGAGGACACGAACAAAGACAACAAAAGGAAAAAAUGCAGUCCGUGGAUGAUAUGGCGCUCGGAUUGAAGCCAGACGCAGAGUCGAGAGAGACCCGCAUGGCUGGCAGCUGUUGAUGAGUGCGGCUUAUGGUCAUUUCCAAUUCAUCUCUAUACCGAAAGGUUCAGAUGUUCUCUUCACCACAGGGAUUUUCGCUGAGGAUACACGCCAGUGCUCCGACCAGCCUGGGGCCACGCAGACCAAAAUUCCAUCAACAAGACAUUUCUGUGGUCUUGAGAGUUUUCCAAACGUAAACCAUGAUAUUGAGCUUCCCACCCUGAUAACGAGUCCAUUAUAG
rnacentral:lncRNA from 1 species